rnacentral:rRNA from 1 species
UACAGAGGGUGCAAGCGUUGUUCGGAAUUACUGGGCGUAAAGCGCGUGUAGGUGGCGAUGUAAGUCGGGUGUGAAAUCCCUCGGCUCAACCUGGGAACUGCAUCUGUGACUGCAUCGCUGGAGUGCGGCAGAGGGGGAUGGAAUUCCGCGUGUAGCAGUGAAAUGCGUAGAUAUGCGGAGGAACACCGAUGGCGAAGGCAAUCCCCUGGGCCUGCACUGACGCUCAUGCACGAAAGCGUGGGGAGCAAACAGG